CUGAAACAACAUGACAGAAGUUCAGGCAUCUUUCUGAUGCCCCAUGACUACAGGAGAAUCCUUCCUACUUGGACAGAAGUCACACUUUGCAACUUGUCAUUUUUAGUAUAAUCAUGAAGAUAGCAAUGAGUUCUGGCCAGUGGACCUAAGCACCUGAAAUACACAUUGUCAGUUACGGUAUUUGGCAGGUUCCGAAAGUGUGACAAAUGUAAUCUUUCUUUCAGAAGAAAAUAUAAAGAAAGGAUAUUGGACUAUAUAGCAAAACUCAUUUGCUUCUAAGUAUACCAGAGCCCCAAGCAGGUUCUUGGUUAGAAGCUGCAGAUGGAAUCCUCAUGGGAGGAGGACUUUUCCCCUUGUCUUUUCCUCUGCUCAGCAUGUGCACAGUGAGACAGCACUACCAGCACACGUGUCAGUCGCAAUAAACUGCUGACUGAAGUAUGUCAAGCCCAGGGAAGAUCUCUGUGAAAAGACCGUCACCUACAGUAUUCUAAUUAAAGAUUAAUUUGCUUUGGUCAAA